CAGGCUCUGAUGGAUGGACACCUGAGGAGAAGGAGGCCUUCCAAAAGGCUUUCCACACCUAUGGCAAGGAUUUCCAUCUCAUCCAGAAGCAGAUCCCGAGUAAGACCGUGGCACAGUGUGUGGAGUAUUACUACUGCUGGAAAAAAGAGCAGAAACUUACCAGCAGCACUCUUGCUCAGACUGCAGGCAAACGGAAGAGGAGGAAAAGCCCUCCCAGGAAGGAGACUGAGGAGACCGGGAAGA